rnacentral:rRNA from 1 species
CACGUAGGGGGCAAGCGUUGUCCGGAUUUAUUGGGCGUAAAGAGCUCGUAGGCGGUUCGGCAAGUCGGGUGUGAAAUUUCGAGGCUCAACCUCGAAACGCCACUCGAUACUGCUGUGACUGGAGUCCGGUAGAGGAGUGCGGAAUUCCUGGUGUAGCGGUGAAAUGCGCAGAUAUCAGGAGGAACACCUGAGGCGAAGGCGGGUUGCUAGGCUGACACUGACGCUGAAGCGCGAAAGCUAGGGUAGCAAACGGG